rnacentral:rRNA from 1 species
AGCGAAAUUCCUUGUCAGGUAAGUUCUGACCCGCACGAAAGGUGUAAUGUCUUUGGGCACUGUCUCAACAGGGGACUCGGUGAAAUCAAACUGCCGGUGAAAAUGCCGGCUACCCGCGAUUAGACGGAAAGACCCCAUGGAGCUUUACUGUAGGUUGAUAUUGAUAUUUGGUAUGUAAUGUACAGGAUAGGUGGGAGACUAUGAAGCUAGGACGUUAGUCUUGGUGGAGUCGACGUUGGGAUACCACCCUUUGCCUAUCGAGUAUCUAACUAGUGUAAGUGGAUUACAAAGGACAGUGUCAGUUGGGCAGUUUGACUGGGGCGGUCGCCUCCUAAAGAGUAACGGAGGCGCUCAAAGGUUCCCUCAGAAUGGUUGGAAAUCAUUCGCAGAGUGUAAACGCAGAAGGGAGCUUGACUGCAAGACAAACAAGUCGAGCAGGGACGAAAGUCGGAGUUAGUGAUCUUACGGUACCGCGUGGAAGGGCCGUGACUCAACGGAUAAAAGCUACCCUGGGGAUAACAGGCUGAUCACGCCCAAGCGUUCACAGCGACGGCGUGGUUUGGCACCUCGAUGUCGGCUCGUCGCAUCCUGGAGGUGGAUAAGCUUCCAAGGGUUGGGCUGUUCGCCCAUUAAAGCGGCACGCGAGCUGGGUUCAAAACGUCGUGAGACAGUUUGGUCCCUAUCUGUCGUGGGCGUUGGAAAUUUGAAGAGAGCUGUCCUUAGUACGAGAGGACCGGGAUGGACAUACCACUGGUGUACCAGUUAGCCUGCCAGGGCUAUAAGCUGGGUAGCUACGUAUGGAACGGAUAAACGCUGAAAGCAUCUAAGCGUGAAGCCUCCUCUAAGAUUAGAUUUCCCACAGAAAUGGUAAGACCCCUUAUAGACUAUAAGGUUGAUAGGCUAGGUGUGGAAGCGCAGUGAUGCGUGGAGCUGACUAGUACUAAUAGGUCGAGGACUUAACCU